rnacentral:rRNA from 1 species
GACGAACGCUGGCGGCGUGCUUAACACAUGCAAGUCGAACGGUAAGGCCCUUCAGGGUACACGAGUGGCGAACGGGUGAGUAACACGUGGGUGAUCUGCCCUGCACUUCGGGAUAAGCCUGGGAAACUGGGUCUAAUACCGGAUAGGACCUCUGGCUUCAUGGUUGGGGGUGGGAAGCUUUUGCGGUGUGGGAUGGGCCCGAGGCCUAUCAGCUUGUUGGUGGGGUAAUGGCCUACCAAGGCGACGACGGGUAGCCGGCCUGAGAGGGUGACCGGUCACACUGGGACUGAGAUACGGCCCAGACUCCUACGGGAGGCAGCAGUGGGGAAUAUUGCACAAUGGGCGCAAGCCUGAUGCAGCGACGCCGCGUGAGGGAUGACGGCCUUCGGGUUGUAAACCUCUUUCAGCUAUGACGAAGCGCAAGUGACGGUAGUAGCAGAAGAAGGACCGGCCAACUACGUGCCAGCCGCCGCCGUAACAC